AUGGGGGCGAAGGGGGCUGUGGGCGAAGAUGAAGAUCGGGUAGAAGAUGCAGAUCGGGAUGAGGAGACUAAUGGAUGGGAUCAAUUCGGCCCAAAUCCAGAGUUGGAGGACAUGUUUGAAGGCCUGAAGCUUCAUGGCGAGGAGGAGGAGGACCUCGAUCUCUCAAGAGAGGUAGAUGAGUUGAUUAAGGAUGUGCGUUGGCUGUGUUUGUUUCGGGUGCAUACUAUGAGGCCGUUUAGCCAUGCGGCGGUGCUAAAUUCAAUGCGUAAUGCAUGGGCGUGUGCCCAAGGUGUUACCUUCAAUAUCAAAGGGCCGAACCUGUUCUUGGCACAGUGUCAUUGUUUGGGCGAUUGGAAACGUGUAAUGGAUGGAGGACCAUGGCAAUUUCGAAAGGAUCCGGUGGUCAUUCUGGAGUAUGAUGGGUUCACUAACGUCUCUGAAUAUGCGUUGGAUAUGUAUCCUUUGUGGGCAAGGAUCAAAGCUUGCCGGAUGGACUAA
rnacentral:rRNA from 1 species